GACGAACGCUGGCGGCGUGCUUAACACAUGCAAGUCGAGCGGUAAGGCCCUUUCGGGGGUACGACGAGCGGCGAACGGGUGAGUAACACGUGGGUGACCUGCCCUCAGCUCUGGGAUAAGCCUGGGAAACCGGGUCUAAUACUGGAUAUGACUCCAUGACGCAUGCUGUGGGGUGGAAAGCCUUGUGCGGCUGAGGAUGGGCCCGCGGCCUAUCAGCUUGUUGGUGGGGUGAUGGCCUACCAAGGCGACGACGGGUAGCCGGCCUGAGAGGGCGACCGGCCACACUGGGACUGAGACACGGCCCAGACUCCUACGGGAGGCAGCAGUGGGGAAUCUUGCGCAAUGGGCGAAAGCCUGACGCAGCGACGCCGCGUGAGGGAUGACGGCCU
rnacentral:rRNA from 1 species